ACUGGAGUUUGAUCCUGGCUCAGAUUGAACGCUGGCGGCAGGCCUAACACAUGCAAGUCGAGCGCGAAAGGCCUUCGGGUUGAGUAGAGCGGCGGACGGGUGAGUAACGCGUAGGAAUCUACCUGGUAGUGGGGGACAACAUGGUGAAAACCAUGCUAAUACCGCAUACGCCCUAUGGGGGAAAGCGGGGGACCUUCGGGCCUCGCGCUAUCAGAUGAGCCUGCGUAGGAUUAGCUUGUUGGUGAGGUAAAGGCUCACCAAGGCGACGAUCCUUAGCUGGUCUGAGAGGAUGAUCAGCCACACUGGAACUGAGACACGGUCCAGACUCGUACGGGAGCAGCAGUGGGGUAAUAC
rnacentral:rRNA from 1 species